rnacentral:rRNA from 1 species
UGGGUUGCAAAAGAGGUAGGUAGCUUAACCUUCGGGAGGGCGCUUACCACUUUGUGAUUCAUGACUGGGGUGAAGUCGUAACAAGG